AUCCAGCUGAUGAGUCUCAAAGAGGACAAAAACGCUCGUCCUGGAU
rnacentral:hammerhead_ribozyme from 1 species